rnacentral:rRNA from 1 species
UACGCAGGGGGCAAGCGUUGUCCGGAUUUAUUGGGCGUAAAGAGCUCGUAGGUGGUUCGGUAAGUCGGAUGUGAAAUCUCCAGGCUCAACCUGGAGGGGUCAUUCGAUACUGCCGUGACUAGAGGUCGGUAGGGGAGUGUGGAAUUCCUGGUGGAGCGGUGAAAUGCGCAGAUAUCAGGAGGAACACCCGUAGCGAAGGCGGCACUCUGGGCCGAUACUGACACUGAGGAGCGAAAGCAUGGGGAGCGAACAGG